UACGUAGGGGGCAAGCGUUGUCCGGAAUCAUUGGGCGUAAAGCGCGUGUAGGCGGCCAGGUAAGUCCGUUCUGAAAGCCCGGGGCUCAACCCCGGGAGGCGGAUGGAUACUGCUUGGCUCGAGUCCGGAAGAGGCGAGUGGAAUUCCCGGUGUAGCGGUGAAAUGCGCAGAUAUCGGGAGGAACACCGGUGGCGAAGGCGGGUCUCUGGGCCGAUACUGACGCUGAGGAGCGAAAGCGUGGGGAGCGAACAGG
rnacentral:rRNA from 1 species